AUGUCUGGACUUGAACACUGGUGGGCAGAGGAGAUCACUGUCCUCGUAACCAUCCAACCACAGGUUGGUUCGCGACAUAGUAAGAAGUUAAUGUCUUCCCAAAGAAAAACUAAUUUUAUCUGGGAAGUGAUGGCAUCUUGCAAGCUCGCCGGCCGGACAUGUGUGGAGGACGCCUUCGUACGUAGGUGUGAAGGGCUCUCAGAGUGCCAAAUCUGCAAGGAAAGGAAUGCACGCUACUUGUUGCAUUACCUUCUUCCGUGCUUGUCAGAUAUGAAUAAGGAGCAGCUAGCUGAGAGGCAGAUCGGGGCCAAGAUGACAGGGGUGUCAUCAUACCAUCUACGCAUAGAACCAGCCGUGUUCGACAAAGAUGACAGGGUCUACUGCAAUAAUUGCGACACAUCAAUUUACGAUCUCCAUAGAAGGUGCCCAGACCCGGAGUGCGGCUACGAGCUAUGCGUCCUCUACUGCAAGGAGCUCCGCGAGAACAACCUCCGAGGCUGUUGUGAGGAGAUGGAGGACGAUUACCCGGACAAUGGACCCGACUACUUGCAUGGAGGCAAUCCACAGACGUGCUCCUCGUCGGCAGGCAAAGGUCAAGACAUUGCAAGACAAUCAAAGAAACUUAAAAUAGCUAAGUGGGUAGCGAACGUAGCUGCCAACGAUGGCAGCAUCCCUUGCCCUCCCGCCGAGCUCGGGGGCUGCGGCCGCCUGACUCUUGAACUGAGACGGCUUUUCCCGGAGGACUGGCUUACACAUCUCGAGGCAGAAGCCACAACGUACAAACUCUUCUUGCCCGCUUCUGAUGUGGCAAGUGCCGAUGAUGCAUGUAGCUGCCUUUGCAGUUUGUCUAUGGAGAAAAGGAGAGCUGCGUCCAGGGAUAACUCAAAUGAUAAUUGGCUGUAUUACCCGGUGUCAGACGCUGCAAAGCCGGAUGACCUCAAGUACUUCCAGAAACAUUGGGUGAGGGGAGAGCCAAUACAUAGUGAUGAUAGGGCUUCAGAUAUUGUGAACGUGAAGGCUAUCGAUUGCCUUAGUGGCUGUGAGCUUGAAAUACCCAAUACCGACUUCUUCAAAGGGUACUACAAAGGUCGAAGUUAUGGUAAUGGUUGGCCAGAGAUGCUCAAACUGAAGGAUUGGCCUACUUCAAAUCAAUUUGAAGAUCUCUUACCAAACCAUGCAGAAAUGUAUACGACUUCAUUACCUCUCCAACCAUACACCAACCCGAAUUUUGGCUCCCUUAAUAUUGCAACUUUCCUUCCUAACGACGUCCACAAGGUUGAUUUGGGCCCAAGAUCAUACAUAGCAUAUGGUACUUCACAAGAACUUGAAAGAGGAGAUUCUUUUACAAAGCUUCACUGUGACAUGACUGAUGCGGUGCAUGUACUGAUGCAUACUGCCAAGGUUCCCGCUUAUUGGAGGCAAGAAAGUGCCAUCACUGAUCUGAAAUUAAAGCAUAUGGCCCAAGACAAAAAUGAAUUAUGCAGUGAUGAAAUAGACAGGGAUGGCUAUGCAAAACACAAUACAUCACCUGAACAUAUGGAGUGUCAAGAGGGCGCUCUCUGGGAUAUAUUUAGAAGAGAGGAUGUCCCAAAAUUGAAUGAAUAUUUGACAAAGCACUCAAAAGAGUUUCAUCAUAUACAUUGUGUUCAAGUCAGAAAGGUGUAUAACCCAAUGCACGACGAAACGUUUUAUCUGACGGAACACCACAAGAGGAAGCUUAAACUUGAAUUUGGAGUAGAGCCUUGGACUAUAGUACAAAAGCUUGGAGAAGCUGUUUUCAUACCAGCCGCUUGUCCACAUCAAGUACGUAAUCUUCAGUCUUGUACCAAGAUUGCUCUAGACUUUGUUUCCCCUGAGAAUGUUAGACAAUGUAUGAUGCUGAACGAAGAUUUCCGCUUAUUACCCAAAGACCACAGAUCAAAGGAAGACAAACUAUAG
rnacentral:rRNA from 1 species